UCCGUACGCGCCCAAAGGUUGUGUCCUCAAAUUCGGUGAAAUCCCGUGUAGGCCUCAACACGCGAGGAACACCAGAGGAAUUCAGCGGGUCAGGUAGUAUCUAUGAGGGCGAAUGCGCUUCAUCUAGCACAUAGGUACAGACAACACAUCGAAUCUAAAUGAUACGAGACUGUGAAGACUUUAAAAAUAAAAAUGUGUAAAAUAAGGCAUUUUUGCAAAAAUAAACAACAAGCCGCAAGGUAAUACUGCAACUCGAUUAAACUGAGAUACGGCAUGGAAUAGGCCCUUUGAGCCCCGCAGCCAGCAACCCACCUAUUUGACCUUGGCCUAAUCACGGGACAAUUUACAAUGACCAAUUAACCCAAUUAACUGGAAUGUCUGUUUUGUGGGAGGAAGCCGGAGGACCCAGAGAAAACCCACAUAUGCCACGGGGAGGAUGCAUCAACUCCUUUACAGAGGAUGCCAAGGUUGAACUCUGACAGCCCAAGACAUAAUAGCGUCAUAUUAACCGCUACUACAGGGACGCCAAUUUUGGUCUAGAUUUCCAGCAUCUGCAGAAUCUCUUGUGUUUAUUAUAUAAUUGAUUAGCAAAAACAGCUGUAGUAGUGUCCAUGAAACUAUUGAGCUGAAAAAAAAAAUUUGUUUUACAAAUAUCCUUCUGGGAAGGAAAUCUUCUGCACUUGCUCAGUCUGGUCUGUAUGUGGCUCCAGCCUUACAAUGUAAUUUCUUAACUCCCUCAGAAGUACCCUGACCGAUGAAUCAGUUCCCAAUUGAGCCAUCUGGUACGGAAGGUCCACUGCACAGGAUCAGAAUAAAAGCUGCAGAAUGUUGUGGACUCAGCCAGCUACAUUGAGGACACUAGCCUCCCCAACAUCAUGGAUAUCUUAAAGAAAAGGUAAAGCCUCAAAAAUGCAACAUCAGUCAUUAGGGACCACCAUCGCCCAGGACAUGCCCUCUUCUCAUUGCUACCAUCAAGGAGAGGUACAGGAGCCUGAAGACACACACUCAAUGUUUUAGGAAUAGCUUCUUCCCAUCCACCAUCAGAUUUCUGAAUGGACAAUGGACCCAUUACAUGACCUCAUGAUUUUUUUUUCUCUUUUUGCUUUUUUUGCACUACUAAUUUAAUAUCAUGUUGGUAUUUAUAGUUUUAGUUUAUGUAUUGCAAUGUACUGCUACUGCAGAACAACAUAUUUUACGACAUAGUGAUUUUAAACAUGGUUCUGAUUCUGACCAGAAGCAUCCUGGCCAAUCAGUCAGUUCAGAGGCAAACAGCAACACCUGGAUGUUGCUAACAAAUAAAUAAGUAGUUUGUCAAAGAUAAGAAUGGUAACUGCAGGAUUUUAUAUGAUAAACAGAGGAAAAGUAUUCACUCUGAUGUUUGCAGCACAGAAGCAAAAACUUAAAAUUAGAACUGGGUCAUUCAAGACUAAUUUUAUUUAGAGAUGCAUUACGGUAACAGGCCCUUCUGGUCCAACUAGCCCACACUGCAUUAUUUCAACCAAUUAAACUGCUAUCCUAUGCAUUUUAGAUUAGAUUACAUAAUUGUUAUUUUCCUUGUAGUUUAGUUUUCUUAUGUUUGUAUUUUUAUAUAUUUACCUAUGUAUAUUCAGUACAUUUUCCGGCAGUUACUGUUCCUGUGCAUCUUUCUGGAAGCUUCUUGGCUAUUGCAUUAAUUGAGUAGGGCUAUCUGAUUGGUUAACUCUUAUCUAUGGAAAUUCAAUGGAAUUAACAAAUUGGUAUAGGAAGGCCAAACCACCUUGGAUUCGGGCUUUUUACUCUUUGUUCUUUCCCCUGCCACUAGUGUCUGUCUCUCCCCCUCCUCCCCUCUCUCCCUCCUCCCCCACUUUAUGCUUCGUCUUCAUUUUUCUUGUUUUUUAUUGCAAUGCAGCGCAGAAUAGGCCUCUACAGCCCUUCAAGCUCUACCACCCAGUAACCCCCGAUUUAACCCUAGCCUACUCACGGGACAAUGUACAAUAACAAUUAACCUACCAACUGAUACAUCAUUGAAUUGUGUUUUUGUAAUGCUUAAUAAGUGAUCAUAAGCAAAAGUUUUAAUGCCUCAUGCUUGACUUCCAAAGAACCUCGGAUUAAAAACAUCUUUGGAAUGUGGGAGUAAACCGGAGAAAGAUCUUCAUACUAAGGACAGUAAAAUGCAAUUGAAGCUUUUGAUGCAGGGGGAUUACAAGGGAAUAGGGAGUAUUCAAAAUAAAUGGAGUUGAGGGUCAAAUGAGCUGCAGUCUGGAUCAGUAAACAGUGGUUUUUCUGUACUUGCCUCAACAGAAAAACACAGACAGGUUGCAGAAUAGAAUGGGAUUACCUUUAGUUAAUUUGCUAUACACAUUUCAACCACACAGUUUGCAAUAUUAUUUUAUUGACAAUUAUUAAAAUUACAAAUUGUUUUUAUUGAUUAAACCAGGUAAUAUCAAUUUCAUGAAGAAAUUUGUGUUGUUAAAGAAAAAUAGGGAUUUAUGAAGCUUGCACUAAAACAGAUCAAGCAGUAAUGAGAAAGAACAAAUGUAGUCAACUUUCUUUGCCUUUUCACCUUUCAUUUUUCAUAGGAAUGCUAGAGACCAGAGGCCUUUCCUUUCAAAACUCAAGUUUAAU